UACAGAGGGGGCAAGCGUUGUUCGGAAUUACUGGGCGUAAAGGGCGCGUAGGCGGCCUGCUGAGUCGAACGUGAAAUCCCCGGGCUCAACCCGGGAACUGCGUCCGAUACUGGCAGGCUUGAAUCCGGGAGAGGGAUGCGGAAUUCCAGGUGUAGCGGUGAAAUGCGUAGAUAUCUGGAGGAACACCGGUGGCGAAGGCGGCAUCCUGGACCGGUAUUGACGCUGAGGAGCGAAAGCCAGGGGAGCAAGCGGG
rnacentral:rRNA from 1 species